rnacentral:lncRNA from 7 species
CUCCUGUCAGGAGGGGACGGUGUUGCAGGAACUCAUGACACUAAGCAUUCCUAAAAUGCAUAGAGAAGUGGUUUAAUGGAAGUUUAAGCAACGCUUUUGUUUCUGUGAUGGCAGAGCAGCUGUAACAGAACUUAGGAGGAAUUUGGUGAUGACUGUGGAGAAUGACGAUGCCUGAGAUAGUACAGUUGUCCUUAAAGAAGCCUGACCGGGAGAUCCGCAGUGCAGGUCUGAUUUGUGUCAGUAAGUGAAAAUGAUACCACAAGGGACAGUUGGAAGGAUCUUUAAAAAAAAAAAACACAAAGCUACAGGGGUUUUCUUAAUAGAGGUAAUGUGAAAAAGUUCAGCUUCUGGAUUUAUUCCUUGGAUACCAAGUCAAGAUGGUUGUCUCAAGAAGAUGUCAGGAGAUCUCAACAGCGUUCAGGUACUUUCAGAAGACUGUUCUUGUUUCCACAGGGAUGUUUUUUUGUUUGCUCUAGGUGCUGAGAAUGCUGAUUUGCUCCCUUAGGAGCACUGCAUUUUGAGCAUUCUGAAUUUCUGAACUUUGCAAGACUUCUUUACAGGCUAAAAUUGGGAGCUGCGGUUACCUGGUGCAUCCCUAAGUUCUUGUAAUAACCGAAUCAGUUAUUAAGGCAGGAAAUUCCUGCUUCAGGAACACAGUGAGGAAUUAAAAUUACUGAUGCUUCGUUUACUUCUUAAAUUGUUAUUUGAAAGUUCCGUGGUUCUUUCACUUCCUAUUGGCACAUCUCAUCUAUCUUUAGUUCGGCUGAAAACUGCAGCUAAGUGGGAUGCUGAUUAAGUGGAGAGCCAAUUCCCAAAGCAAGGAAGCAGAAGCAUGUGCAGCUCGUUGCAAUUGUGUUGUUUACAAAUUCGUGUUUGGGUCUGUAAAUUUUGCAGUAUGUACUGAAUUAAAUAUUCUCUUAUUUUAUUCCAUUAAAUAUUCUACUUCACAAGAAAAGGUUCUGUAUCUGCAACAAACUUUACAGGAAUCAUCCAAAAUAGCUUCUAUAGAAAACAAAUGGUAACUGCCCAUUGUUUGGAGCCCAUGAGGAAUAUCAGUUAAACAGAGGGGCUUCUCGUUUCCAGGACAGUGGGUCUGCCUUUGGCUUUGGGUUUCAGGUGUAGGGUUGCUGAUGUGAGUGCUGAGCUGUGAAUUAUUUGUUGACCCAUUCAUUUACCUCUGUCGUGGCUUAUUACUGUUGGCUUAGCAGAUGGAUGGAUCCACUCAGUAUUUCCAUCAGAUGCUUUUCUCUUUGCAGGCUGAGCCGUCCCCAGUGCAUCUUAAUCAAUUCAUCAACAACAGCUGCUCUUCUUGACAAACAGUCUAAUGAAUACUGAAAUAAGAAUCUUAUUUGUAAGAAAUACCAUCUCUGUCACUACUGAGGAGGCGAGGGGGGACUGUGAAAAUGAAAUAAGACUCUCAGUUUUGAAAUUCUGCUGUAAUAAAUAUGAGCAAUGGCUCAG